rnacentral:lncRNA from 1 species
UGCAUAACGAUUUCAUUUAUAUACAAUUGGUAAACAACUAUAUAUUUUUUUUUUACAAAUCAGAAAUCUCGGUUAAUAUUGUUCGUUAUUUGGAUAUUAUGGUGUUGAUGAUGGUAGAUCUAGUGUUUUUGUGUACAGAAAUAGUCUGUUGUAUAGACUAUGGAAUAUUUAGAGAUUGGGAUGUGGUAUAGACCGUGGACUCUAUUAAUUGUUGAACGACUAUUUUUUUUUAAUUGAGACGGGAAAUGGGGAAUGUGUCAGACAACAACUCGACCAGAUAGCAGACAACAGCCGAAGUCUACCAAUGGGUCUUAAUAAAUACUUAAAUCACCAGCCAAAUAGUCAGCACUUCUGU